rnacentral:SRP_RNA from 1 species
GCUCAAGGGGUGGUACUUUGUGACUAGCACUGAAGGGGAUCCUGAUCUAGACCCCGUCAGCUUUGUGCUGGAAGGAAGCAACGACAAGCGGAACU